UUCCAUUAACUCAAGAACUUCAGUUUUAUUUUGCGGGUUAAUCUUUCGUUGGUUUGGAAGAUGAUUGAAUAAUGUUUCAGAUAAUACAUGGUUAUGGUUGUUAUCCAUUCGACUAAUUUCUAAUGCAUUUCCUUGACUGUUUAUUAUUAAAUAAAUAAAAGCUUGACAACCUUGGCGCAUAGUUCUGAAUUAAGUUUAGGGUGGAUAUAUAAAUAAAAUAAAUAUAAUAUAUACAUAGUAGGUUAGGUACUACCUAUAAUACUUUAAAUACUUACGAGGUAUUUCGUUGAUCUUGGCAAAUCUUUUUUUUUUUAUGGACCCCUCCAUGAAUACACAUAAGUUUAACAUAAUAGUAUUUUAAAUUUUCAGACGUAUUUGCCAAUCUUGGGUACCUGUGUUUUUGAGAUGAAAUAGUCUUGCAGUCUUUAAUGCAAUAGUCAACAAAGUUUGAUGUCUUGAAAUUAUUUAAGGCUUUUUCAAAUUCUGCAUAACUUUCAAAUGUGUCACCUAUGCGCAUCUUGAUAACUUUAAUUAUUUUAAUUUAACACUAAUUUUUAAUUUAUUAUACAAAUAGCUUUGUUAAUGCUGUCACUGUUAAAACUUUCACUGUUAAAUUCAAAAAUAUGAUGAAAAACCACAAAACAAACUAUUUUUAAAUAAAUAAUAUACCCUUACAUUUGUAUUAUAGACUAGGAGGAGCAAAGUAUAUAAUUACAGUAUUUUAUCAAGAGGUAGGUAAUAAAUUGCAAUUGUAAAAACAGUUCACUGAAACCGGUAUUUUAAAAAAUUUGAAUAUUAAAUAAGAUAAUUCAAAUUUACGCGGGAUUGAUAACAGUUGAUUUGAUAACACCUAACCUACCUGAUAACAGUGAUAACAUCGUGGCGAAAAUAUUAAGUCCCCGCGCAUGCGCAAAGCAGUGUCCGGGUACGUAUUAGAUACCCGGUGUCCGGGUCUCUAGCCACAGCGUAGUUUUAAUGAUACU